GUGAGGAAUUUUCCGCAAUGGGCGAAAGCCUGACGGAGCAAUGCCGCGUGAAGGAUGAAGGCCUAUGGGUUGUAAACUUCUUUUCUCAGAAAAGAAUUAUGACGGUAUCUGAGGAAUAAGCAUCGGCUAACUCUGUACCAGCAGCCGCGGUAAGACAGAGGAUGCAAGCGUUAUCCGGAAUGAUUGGGCGUAAAGCGUCUGUAGGUUGUUUAAAAAGUAUUCUGUCAAAGAUUAGGGCUUAACCCUAGAUAGGCAGAAUAAACUUUUAAGCUAGAGUUUGGUAGAGGCAGAGGGAAUUCCCGGUGGAGCGGUGAAAUGCGUAGAUAUCGGGAGGAACACCAAAGGCGAAGGCACUCUGCUGGGCCAAUACUAACACUGAGAGACGAAAGCGAGGGGAGCAAAUGGGAUUAGAAACCCGAGUAGUCC
rnacentral:rRNA from 1 species